GAAGUGCUAGCCACAGCGACUUCAGGUAGUCUCGGUCUUAGCGGAGUCCGCGGACUUUCUUGUCCUUCUGCGUAGUGCACUAACUGAGCGACCAAUUGAUAACCUAAGUUUAGCUGAUCUUUUUAUUGAAUUAAUUAAAACUGUUUUGAAAUCUAUUCUGUAAGAGCCUGAGAAAAAUUGCGGCCACAGAAGCUGUUUUGAAAUGCGCUUGGCUUCCGACUUCCGCAAGGGGAGGCAGCUGUUUCUUGUAGACCUGGACUUAAUCUCAGCUGGUGUACAGAGUUCUCUCCAAAAACAAGUGGCCUACUUCACAUUCAGUGAAUUGAUAUAUUCUUAUUUUAAGUUAUCAGGAAAAAAAGUCCUUGGGAAUUGAGAAGCCAAUGAGAUUAGUCGUUCAAGCUGAAGUCAUUCUAUCUGCUAGCUGUCUGGAGCCACUGAAGCUGUGGGCGAACAGCAACAAGUUUAAGCUACAUCUGCACACUCUGCGGUCCAGAGACCAAGAAAGAAGCACAAG
rnacentral:antisense_RNA from 1 species